AAGCCUUAGUAAAUUUUUACUCCUUUAAAAUUGCAGUUUAAUAUCAUUAUUGACUAUAAGACC
rnacentral:tRNA from 1 species